AGGGAAGAAGUACAUUCCUAUAUUCGAAUAUUCUGUUAAAGAUUCCGUCAUUUUAUUUUAUUUUCUGAAAAUUCUCUCGAGCAAUCAUCAAUAACAGUCAAAAGUCAUACACACCAACACUCCACUUAUUGUGCCUAUUGUGAAGUCUGAAGAGAAGAAUCGAGUUUUCGACAUUAAUGGAACGAACUUAAGGUUCGUAAUUGCUUAUCUUCCUCUUUCUUCCAUUGAUUUUAUGGAGAAUCGGACACUCGAAACACUUCUAAAAUUCUCUCAAACCGAAGCAGUCAAAUUGUUGAAUCAUCACAAAUUCGUAAUGUUACUGCUCAGUGCUCACUCAGAGAUUUCCUUGCAAUUCACAAGCAGGAAUUAUUUGGAAUUUGCCGUUGUAUUUUCUCACUUAAAUUUGAUUAUAACUCUGAAGGCACUUGAUUCAUUUGGCCGCAUGUUAGAACAUCGAUAAUCAAGGUUUGGUCAUAUGCAAAAAAGGGUGAAAAAAUGCACAAGAAGUGAAAAGUUGGAGCUUUGAAAUGGAAAAGCUUGGUCGAAAAUGGCUUCGAUAAAAUGAAUGAAGAAUUAAAAUUUGCUAGAGGUAGAAAUGAAUGUAAUGAGAAGAGUAUAUGUGUGGCCUCAAAUGCUUCUUGUUGGAUUAUCGUUUUACAUUGGGGCUUUGGUCCCAAGGGCAUGUGUCAUGCACUAAGUUAGCAUGAUGGAUGUGACGCGUUAUCCACCUUGAAGAACAGCUCUUGAUGGCUUAAACAUGUGACAAACUGUUUUAAGUGGCAUAAAGACCUUGCUACGACAACUCUAUGUCGCUUUGAGCUGCCCCCCAUAAUCCAAAAAACUAUUAUGAAACACUAAAAGAGACUUUAGUUGCUUGUCAUAUAUAGUCUGCUAAAGACAACUACAUUAAGGGAAGGCACUAAAGUGCUUGGACUAGUGAUAACUAAGCGUGUGGCACAACGAGUACUUUCACAUCAUAAGGAGACAACUCUUUUAAGAGUUUUGUUGAAUUACUACCCGGUGCACAGGAAAAGGUUUGAGAACGUUAAUGACAUAGUUAGUCUAAGCGUGCGGGGUAGACUAUCAUGAGAACUAGAGAGCCAUAGGUGAGGAUUGUUAUAUUUGGGUCAACAAAUGCCUUGAGGAGACAAUAAAAGACCUUAUCAGUGCCACACUUUGACAAGUUGUCGGAGACAACUAGGGUCGCCACCUUAUUGUUGGUUUUAUCUUCAAUUUGGCUUGAAUAAGGAAGUUCUAUCCACCAAGAUAUCCCUCCUAUGACUUAUAGGCUGAAUGGUUAGAGUUUCAAUGAAUUCUCAGCCAAUGCCUGAGAUAGUUCUUGAGAUUAGGGAUAGACAUUUCAGAGACUCUGGCGUCAUACCCUUAUUUUAGGGUCGGCCACACCGAAAUCCUAAUUUUAAGGGUGUAGAAACUAGACCCAUUAGGGUAUAAAGUCGAGUCUAGACCGGACUCAAAGCCUAAAAAAUAAUAUUAUCAUAAGUGGAUAAGGACUAGUAAAAAGCUUAAUAUUGAUCAGAUUAACUAAAAUUAAAGCACUUACCCAAAUUACCAACCAAAAUAGAAAUAGUAUAUCACCAAGGUAAAUCAAAAGCUUAAUUUUGUCUCUCUGAGUUUGGCCCCUUUGAUCAUUUAAUGUGAGAAUUUUUUUGUCAAAUGGGGUAAACUCUAUGGGACGAGGGAGUAAAGCUUCAAUCGAAAGCUCCGACAUAAAGUCAUACUUACUAAUUGAUCCAAUGGAAUUUGAGUAAAAGUGAAAGCAAAUUCUCAGAAUAGUUGUAAUCAUGAAAACAUUUUUCAUGUAGUUCACAAUACUAGUAUUUACUUAGAAAUAAAGACGAUAAUAAUAUAAUCCAAAAAUGUUCUCUAAAAUAAAAUUAAGCCAAUGAAAAUAAUUUAUACAUUAAUCCAAAAUAUUCACGAGUAAAGAUGGAAAAAAUCUUGCCCGAUAAAUUAUUCAACAAAAAGAAUCCAAAACAACUUGCAGACUAUCUUGCCCGAUAAAUUAAUUACCAAAAAAAUUCCCAAACAACCUAAUCUUGUUUGCAAAUUGGAUCAGUGCGUUCUAUUUUGUCUUUGAAAGCAAAUUCUCAUAAUAACUAUAAAAUUCUACGAUUCGAUCCCGAGAGCUCUUUUAGAUCUAAAGUAUAAUCUAAAUCAUCGCAACAUUGCUAGUCUUAGAAUUUAUGCUUGAAUUUUGUCGGAAUUAUGGAUUGAUCGUUGGUGGUGAAUUAGUAGUUGGUCCGAUUUUGUAUGAUAUAUUUUUCGCUUGAUAGGUACCUUUUCGAGCAGCAAAAAAUUGUUUUGUAGAAAAAUUUAGAUGGUAAAAUAGUGAAUUGAUUUAUUUGGAGAGGAAGAUGAGUGAAUCUGUAGAAUGAAUAUUCUUAUUCAUUGCCAAAAAUUGAUUACAUCAAUGGGUAUUUAUAGUGAUGAGUUUGGUUAUAAGUUUACUAAAAUAUCUUAGAUAUUUUUUUAUUUUUUAAUUACUUUUUCUAGGUUCUUCUAUUAUAUUAUCUUAGAUAUUUUUAUUUUUUAAUUCUUUAGUUUAGAUAUUUUUAUGUUUAAUUAAAAUCCUAGAUUUUUCUAGAUUAUUUUAACACUCCCCCUAAUUUGAAAAAUCUUGAACUAUGAGUUGUCUUCUGAACUCGAUAAAUCUAUCAGUUGAUAUGGGUUUUGUGAAAAUGUCUGUGAGUUGCUCCCCUAUCUUGCAGAAUUGUAGUUCGAUCUCUUUCUUGUCUAUUAACUCAUGAUUGUAGUGAUGUCGUAUCUCGUUGUGUUUUGAUCUGCUAUGAAAUACUGGAUUCUUCACCAUUGCUAUUGUUGACAUGUUGUCGCAGAACAUUGUAGUUGGUGUUUCUUGCUUAUGUUGUAGAUCGAUUAAUAUCCUUCUGAGCCAGACUACUUCACAUGCUGCACUUGUUGUUGAUGAUAAAGCUACUGUCACCUGUUUUUUUGAUGACCAUGAGAGCACUUAGUUUCUAAGCUGAAAUACGUACUCGCUUGUACUUUUUCUAUCAUCCACGCUUCCAGCCCAGUCGCUAUCGAUGUAUCCCGUGAGCUUGAAAUCUUUUUCAGUUUCGUACAUGAUCCCAUAGCUUUUCGUUCCCUUAAUGUAUCUGAGAAUCCUCUUUGCUGCUGUUAGAUGAUCCUUGCUCGGUUCACUCAUGAACCUGGAUACGAUGUAACAACAUUGACUAUAUCUGGUCUUGUAUGUGUGAGAUAAGUGAGAGAGCCGACCAAGCUUCGAUACAUUGCUCUGUCAACUUUUGGUUUGCCAUCGUACUUUGAUAACUUCUUAUUGAUUGCCAUUGGUGUAGUCAGCGGUUUACAUUCACCCAUGUUGAAUUUCUUGAGAAGGUCUUCUGCAUAUUUCUCUUGUGAUAGAAAUAUUUUUCCCGGGGUUUGUUUGAUUUGUAUGCCAAGGAAGUAUUUCAUUGUACCAAGGUCUAUCAUCUCGUACUCCUUCAUCAUAGCCUUUUUAUAUUCUUCGAUCAUCGGAUGUGUGCUUGUAUUAGAUUAGAUCAUCCACGUACAUGCAUAAAAUGAGAAAAUUGUUACCUUGUGUCUUGAUGUAUAGUGAAGGUUCACUCGAACUCUUGAUAAAACCAUGUUGGAGAAGAUAAUUGUCGAUGUUGUUGUUCCACGCUCGGGGUGCUUGUUUGAGUCCGUACAGAGCUUUUCGAAGGCGGUAUACUUUGUCUUCUCGGCCUUUGACGUAUCCCUGUGGUUGCUCGACGUACACUUCUUCUUCGAGUUCUACAUUUAGAAAUGCUGAUUUGACAUCGAGCUGAAAGACUGGUAGCUAAUGUUGUGAUGCUAAUGCCAGGACUGUUCUGAUUGUCUCCAUGCGGAGAAGUGGUGCAUAUGUUUCAUUGAAGUCGAUUCUUGGUUGUUGCACAUAUCCCUUUGCUACGAGCCCUUUGCUUUGUACUUGUUGAUGGAGCCAUCAUCCUUAUGUUUCACCUUGUAGACCCACUUGAGUCCGAUGACGUCCUUGUCUUGUGCUUCAUGUUUGUGGCUCACUAGAGAAGAGAGCAAUCAUUGCUUGGUCACAAUGGUAAUCUUAUAGCCAUGAUAGCGGUUGCCGAUCUCGUGUUGAUCUUCGGGCUUCUUGAUGUUGAGGAGUUGAAUGUGAUGUUUGGCUUCUUGAGCUUGGGGAUAAUCUUGUACUUCCAGGUGUGCUUGGACUCGGAGAUGAUGGGUUUGUUGGUUGGUUUGCUCCGUCUUUUUCACUUGGAUCUCUUGGGAGAGUAUCUCCUUCGCGAGCUUCAAUUUCUUUUUCUUUCCAUGUCUAUUUCGCUGCUUCGUCGAUAAUUACGUCUCUAAAGAUGAUUAAUUUUUUAGAUUCAGGCUUGUAAAGGCAAUAUCCUUUUGUUUCGUGACUGUAUCCAAAGAAUAUGCAUUUUUCUUCCUUCUCAUCGAGCUUUUCCCGAUUCUCCUUUGGGAUGUGGGCAUAAGCCACGCAUCCGAACACUUUGAGGUGCUCUACUCUUGGCUUUCUCUUGUGCCAAGCUUCAUAUGGUGUUAAAUCUUUAACUACUUUUGUGGGAGAUCUAUUGAGGAUAUAUACUGUCGUGUCAACAGCUUUGGCCCAGUAUCUUUUGGGUAGAUGUUUACCCUGCAUCAUGCUGCGGCCAUCUCUGCUAUAGUGCGGCUUUUCCUUUCUGCGGCACCAUUUUUUUGAGGUGUAUGCCUUGCUGUAAGUUCUCUUUUAAUUCCAUGCUUUUUACAAAAACUGUUGAAUUCGUUGCUUGUAAAUUCUCCGCCACGUUCCGUUCUAAGAAUCUUAAGAGAAUGUCCACUUUGAUUUUCUGUGAGGGCUUUGAAUUGCAUGAAGUGGGAAAAAGCUUCUGUGUUUUUCUCCAGAAAAUAUACCCACAUCAUGCGGGAGUAGUCAUCUAUGAACAAAAGAAAAUAUCUUUUUCCGCUAAGAGACGAAUUCUUAGUAGGACCCCAGAUAUCUGCAUGAACAAGCUCUAGAGGAGCCUUGGCCCUUCAAGAUGCGGUAGGAAACGACAAUCUAUGCAUCUUGCCAUAUAUACAGCCUUCGCAAAUUUUUCUUUCAUUUUUUAUUGAUGGUAGUCCAAUUACCAUUUCCUUUUGUUUUAAUAAUUUUAGACUGUUAAAAUUUAGAUGCCCGAAUCUCAAAUGCCCAUAAGGUGUAUUCAUCAUUUAUUGAGCUUAAAGCCAAUUUUUCUUUCAAAUGACAUUUUUAAUGGGAAUAUUGUGUUAGGAGCCAUUUCGACAAUUGUUAUUAUCCGACCCUUAUUUUUAUCAUAGAUUUGACAUUUGUUAUACUCAAAUUUAACCACAUAUACUUUUUUAAUUAAUUGGCCUACACUUAAUAAAUUUUGUGCAAGUCCGGGAACAUAGAAAACAUCAUAAAUUAAUUUUGAUGAGCCAUUUUUUGUUUUAACAGCGAUUGUCUCUUUUCCGGCGACAUCUUUUUUUUUUACCGUUGCCAAGUGUGAUGUGUGUUUUAACAUUUUUGUCAAGAGUGGCAAAAUAAUUUUUAUUGCCAGUGAUGUAAUUUGAACAACCCCUAUCAAUAUACCAUAUCUCACUUUUUCUUGUGCAUUUAAUCCAGUGUAAAAUAUUUGUUCUCCGGAAUUAUUGUUUUCGGAAUAGUUUGCUUCUUCUUUUUGUCGAUACAAACAAUCUUUUUGGAGGUGAUUGUGUUUUUUACACCUCUUACAUUUAUACCGACAAUCAUUAGUAUCGUGGUUAGUUUUCUUACAUAAUUUACAAUAAAGGUCAGUUUCAUUAUUUACUCGACUCCAUUGAUUUUUAAAAUUUCUUCUCCCCUUGCUACGACGAUUAGUUGAUGUUUUUCCUUUUUCAUAAUUUUUACGAUGACUAUUUUUAUUUUCACCAUUAGAAAGUUUUAAUUUAGUUUAAAAAACUUUUUCUAGUAGUUCUUCGUUAAAUCUUUUUAAUCUAUUUUCAUGUGCAAGUAAUGAUCCCAUUAGUUCGGGUAUACUUAAUUGAGAUAGUUAUGAUCUUGGCUGACUUGUCUGAAAAUAUUGUCUUGCGGUUCUGGAAAGAUCAGAAAUGGGAUCGAGAUGGGCACUCAAGGGUUCAUGGAUUCUUCUCAUUGUUUUAUUGCCUUGUUGGGCUAUUUUUUUAUCUGUGAGUUGGGAUUGGGUGGAUUGUUUCCCUCUUCCACAGUAAUUUUGGUAAAUUUCAACUUUCAUUGUCAGAAUCUGUUGAUGGGAAAUGUUUGAGGGUUGUGUCCAUUCUCCUUUUUUAUCAGGGUUCUUGGGGUUUAUAGAGGUCUGUGAUGAAUUGGGGGACCCAUUAGGCCAUUGGGUCGAAAACGGGUUCAAUUGCUUUUGUUUUUAUUCACCUCAUCUUUCUUUUUUUUUCCUGCAACCAUACAUAUGUUUUUUUUGAAGCAGAGGGUGGUAAUGUUUCCAUUUUGAACCUGACGUUCUUGUUGGGUGUCCUUUUGAAUGAGUGGUAUAAUGAUGACAAGUGGGUGAAUUCUAGAGACUCAGAGAAGAAAUUUCUCAUCACUUUUGUGUGUAUGCUUGUUCUGGAACAUGUCUACUCUCCUGAGCUCUUACUAUGGGGAUUGUUGAUGUUGUUUUGAUUUUUCUGGUAAUGGAUGAAUGCCAGUGGCUGAUCACCGAUCCCCGGAAAACACCAUUGGCUAUGAUAUCUUGAAGAAAUUCAUAGUGCGGAAUUCAGUUUGGGUUUAAUCCGGUAAAUACUGGAUUUGUAUUAAUUAUUCAAUGAGAGAAACACCUCUAUUUAUACAUCAUUUGACCAUCCAAUAAGAAAAUUUAAUAUUACGGAAUAUUAAGAUUAAGGAAACUAAAUCAGAAUAAUGCUCCCUCCUAUGCAGCCUAAAUGUCCUAUUUGACUUUUUGCGGAUUUUAAUGUGAGUCAAAAUGAGACCCUUAGGGUAAGAGAGAGUGAUGUUAUGCGUUUUUAAUGACUUGAUUAGAAAAUUAAUAAUUCCCUCCAAAUUUUAAUGUAUUUGUUGGAAUAUUAAAUUGGUGAAUAUUUUUCACCUUCAAAAAGUGGAUAAUUUUUUUUAAUAGCUGGAAAUUACGUAGUUCAGGUUAAUUACCUAAAAUACAUACGUCCUACAAUUACAAUAUACACUUAGUCCGGAAAAAAAAUUACAUAGUUCGAUUUCUUAAUCUCGUCCAGCCUUCUCAAAUCUUCAACAGCCUCGGUGUAGUUCAAAUCUUUGUUGAUCAUGUGGGUGUGGAUUUUUUUGCGGUCUUCGACUUCAGAUUUUGAACGUUAACCAAAAAAAAUAAAUGCAUUAAACUUCUCAUAAAUUGCCACCGUAUGGUAAACAACUAAAAUUUCAUUUUUUUGUAAAAAAAUCAUCAUUGUACGAUCCCAUUGUAAAUCAAAAAAAUCAAAUUGGAUGUCCAAAAAAAUACAGAGAUCAGGUGCCAAAAAUGAAAACAGAAACCUAAACAUCAAACACAAAACAGAUUAGGCGCCAAAAUGAAAACAAAACCCCAAACAGCAAACACAGACUGAAAACAGAAACCCAAACAGCAAACACUAACAAAACCCCAAAUAGCAAACACAAACUGAAAACAGAAACCCAAACACUAGAUACAAAAUGAAAACAGAAACCCAAACAGCAAACACCAAUGAAUAUAGGUGCCAAAAUGAAAAAUGAAAACCUAAAAGCAUUAUAACAUUGGCGCCACUAUUGAAUACAACACACAAGGAGCUCAUUGCCAUAAAUACUAAGUGACUCGAUAACAUUAAUUACACCCACAAAAUGGCAGGAACUAAGAAUUUGUCCAGCCAACAAAAAACACUAAUCAUGCAAAAAUUAUUGACCAAAUUAAACAAGAAGGGUAAACCGAUGCUUGGUACGAUUAAUGAACUUGCAACAGAGUACCAAGUCUCUAGGAAAACAAUAACCAGAUUAUGGCAGGAAGUUCAGAAGCAAAGGGAGAACAACAACACAGCAUCAAUCAACAACAAGAGGAUUAGGAGACAAGCACCCAAUAAAAUUCAAUUUGAUGACGAGAAGUUCAAGUCCAUCAAAUUUUAAUUCAAAGGGACUCAACAUUCAGUGGAAAAGCAAAUGCAAGUUUCACAGUCAAGUGUAUGCAAGUGGAAGAAGGAUAGAAUAAUUAGAAAGCAUACAAACGCAAUCAAACCCACACUGAAUGAUAACAACAAACUACACAGGUUAAGGUUUGCAUUAUCUAAGUUGCAAUAUGAUGAAAACAAUGAUUCUUUCCAAUUUAAACCACAUACUAACAUUGUUCACAUUGAUGAAAAACAUUUCUAUUUAACCCGAGAAUCACAGACUUACUACCUAGCUUCGGGUGAAGUAGAACCACAUCGUGAAUGUCAAUCCAAAUGAUUCUUUCCAAAAAUAAUGUUUAUGUGUGCUGUUGCAAAUCCAAUUUAUUUAACUAAUGGUGACGUGUUUUUUGAUGGUAAGAUAGGGAUAUGACCUUUUAUACUCAAGAGCCUGCCAAAAGGAGCUCAAAGAAUUGAAAGAGGGGGGAAUUGGAGACCAAACCAGUACAGUCAAUAACCAAAGAGCGAUCAAUGCUCAUCACUAAUGUCAUACCCACAAUAAGAGCAAAGUGGCCAAACGGAAUGUCAAAGCACAUUUUCAUUCAACAAGAUAAUGUAAAGCCACAAAUAGCACAUAAUGACAAGGAAUUCAUGGAGGAGGCAAUGAAAGAUGAUUUUUUUAUACAACUUGUACAACAACCACCAAAUUCACCUGACAUGAACGUACUAGACCUAGGUUUUUUAGGUCAAUUCAGGCUUUGCAAUAUCAAAAUGCAGCCUACAAUGUACCACAAUUACUAAGUGCUGUGAACAAUGCCUUUAACAAUUUAAGUGCAUAAUGUUUGAGAUUUGUAUUCAUUACAUUACAAACUUGCAUGAUUGAAACCAUGAAAAGGCAAGGGGGUAUUGACUACCACAUCCCACACAUGAACAAAACAAAGACUGCUAGGGAGGGGACAUUAUCUGACUAUCUUAGUGUGGACAAACAAUUAGUGGUUGAAUCUCUUCAACAUUUAUUCACAAGAAUGAGUUCAGAGACAAUGAACCAAUUGGUUGACAUGAUAGGGUAUCAAGGGGGUCUUUAUGAAGCCCUAAGUAAUGAUGCACAAUAGUAAUACCACAGAAUUGGAACCAGAAACUAUAAGAACAACAUUCAAUUUUUCAUAAAAGAAGGCCAACAGGAAGCACAAAUCUCAGGGCAGAACAAGAACCAACAGAACUGGAACCAGAAACUACAACAACAUCAGUCGUUUUUUUGUAAAGGAAGGGAAACAAGAAGCACAAAUACAACAGAACAAGAACCAACAGAACUGGAACCAGAAACUACAACUAUAGCAAACAAUUUUUUGUAAAGGAAGGGCACCAGGAAGCAGAAACAGAACAGAACAACAACCAACAAGGCAACAGCAAAUGCAAAACCCAAAACAACAGAAAGGGAAAACCACUUACCAAGUGAAGCGUAAAACUCAUGCAUUUUUUGGACAAAUUUUUGAGAUCUUGAAAAUGGGAUGUUUUAGAUAUAAGCAACAAGUUUAAAAAUUUUGAUGUUGUUUAAAAUGAAACAUUUGUACUCAUGUUUACAGUAAUGAA